CAUGAUUUACAUUUGAGUGAGUGGCGAACUGGUGAGUAACACGUGGGAAACCUGCCCAGAAGCGGGGGAUAACACCUGGAAACAGAUGCUAAUACCGCAUAACAACUUGGACCGCAUGGUCCGAGUUUGAAAGAUGGCUUCGGCUAUCACUUUUGGAUGGUCCCGCGGCGUAUUAGCUAGAUGGUGGGGUAACGGCUCACCAUGGCAAUGAUACGUAGCCGACCUGAGAGGGUAAUCGGCCACAUUGGGACUGAGACACGGCCCAAACUCCUACGGGAGGCAGCAGUAGGGAAUCUUCCACAAUGGACGAAAGUCUGAUGGAGCAACGCCGCGUGAGUGAAGAAGGGUUUCGGCUCGUAAAACUCUGUUGUUAAAGAAGAACAUAUCUGAGAGUAACUGUUCAGGUAUUGACGGUAUUUAACCAGAAAGCCACGGCUAACUACGUGCCAGCAGCCGCGGUAAUACGUAGGUGGCAAGCGUUGUCCGGAUUUAUUGGGCGUAAAGCGAGCGCAGGCGGUUUUUUAAGUCUGAUGUGAAAGCCUUCGGCUCAACCGAAGAAGUGCAUCGGAAACUGGGAAACUUGAGUGCAGAAGAGGACAGUGGAACUCCAUGUGUAGCGGUGAAAUGCGUAGAUAUAUGGAAGAACACCAGUGGCGAAGGCGGCUGUCUGGUCUGUAACUGACGCUGAGGCUCGAAAGUAUGGGUAGCAAACAGGAUUAGAUACCCUGGUAGUCCAUACCGUAAACGAUGAAUGCUAAGUGUUGGAGGGUUUCCGCCCUUCAGUGCUGCAGCUAACGCAUUAAGCAUUCCGCCUGGGGAGUACGGCCGCAAGGCUGAAACUCAAAGGAAUUGACGGGGGCCCGCACAAGCGGUGGAGCAUGUGGUUUAAUUCGAAGCUACGCGAAGAACCUUACCAGGUCUUGACAUACUAUGCAAAUCUAAGAGAUUAGACGUUCCCUUCGGGGACAUGGAUACAGGUGGUGCAUGGUUGUCGUCAGCUCGUGUCGUGAGAUGUUGGGUUAAGUCCCGCAACGAGCGCAACCCUUAUUAUCAGUUGCCAGCAUUAAGUUGGGCACUCUGGUGAGACUGCCGGUGACAAACCGGAGGAAGGUGGGGAUGACGUCAAAUCAUCAUGCCCCUUAUGACCUGGGCUACACACGUGCUACAAUGGAUGGUACAACGAGUUGCGAACUCGCGAGAGUAAGCUAAUCUCUUAAAGCCAUUCUCAGUUCGGAUUGUAGGCUGCAACUCGCCUACAUGAAGUCGGAAUCGCUAGUAAUCGCGGAUCAGCAUGCCGCGGUGAAUACGUUCCCGGGCCUUGUACACACCGCCCGUCACACCAUGAGAGUUUGUAAC
rnacentral:rRNA from 2 species